rnacentral:rRNA from 1 species
AGACGUCUACAUUAGAUACCCCCUGUAGUCCCAGCCGUAAACUAUGCGCGUUAGGUGUAUCGGUGACCACGAGUUACCGAGGUGCCGAAGGGAAACCGUGAAACGUGCCGCCUGGGAAGUACGGUCGCAAGGCUGAAACUUAAGGAAUUGGCGGGGAGCACAACAACGGGUGGAGCCUGCGGUUUAAUUGGACUCAACGCCGGACAACUCACCGGGAACGACAGCAAUAUGUAGGCCAGGCUGAAGACCUUGCCUGAAUCGCUG